rnacentral:hammerhead_ribozyme from 1 species
AUCCAGCUGACGUGUCUCAAAUAGGACGAAACGCAUGUCCUAGAU